rnacentral:rRNA from 1 species
AGUGAACGCUGGCGGUAGGCCUAACACAUGCAAGUCGAACGGCAGCACAGUAAGAGCUUGCUCUUACGGGUGGCGAGUGGCGGACGGGUGAGGAAUACAUCGGAAUCUACUUUUUCGGGGGGGAUAACGUAGGGAAACUUACGCUAAUACCGCAUACGACCUACGGGUGAAAGCAGGGGAUCUUCGGACCUUGCGCGAUUGAAUGAGCCGAUGUCGGAUUAGCUAGUUGGCGGGGUAAAGGCCCACCUAGGCGACGAUCCGUAGCUGGUCUGAGAGGAUGAUCAGCCACACUGGAACUGAGACACGGUCCAGACUCCUACGGGAGGCAGCAGUGGGGAAUAUUGCACAAUGGGCGAAAGCCGGAUCCAGCCAUACCGCGUGGGUGAAGAAGGCCUUCGGGUUGUAAAGCCCUGUUGUUGGGAAAGAAAAGCAGCAGGUUAAUACCCCGCUGUUCUGACGGUACCCAAAGAAUAAGCACCGGCUAACUUCGUG